UGUUGAGAACUGUCUGUCAGCGGUAGGUCACCCCAUUUGUCCCUGGGGUUGAUUCUGCUGAUCUGGCUGGCUAGGUAGGUGUCCCCUUCCUCUCAGCACAGCAGAAGCCAUGCACUUGACUGAAGAGGACUGCAUCCAGAGCCGAGGAUGGUGCUCUGGCCAAACGCAAAUACGUCACUCUCCCCCCACCGAGUCUGCAGACAAGCUCCAUGAUUAGAGCAGCUGCGUCUCUGCAAUCCACUGCAU
rnacentral:sRNA from 1 species